UGUGCCGAGGCACGCGAGAUUGGUGUGCAUCCAUGUGGGGAUGGCGGCCCCUCGGGCCUGGCCAAAACCCAGUGCAGUCCUGUUGCAUAAGGAGCUGCAGAGAUGCCAUAACCACUUGUGUGGGAUUUUUUGUAUGUCUCUAAUUGAAAUAAGCAUAGAUCAAACAGAAGCAAUGAAAGUCGUCUCUGCACCAGUAAGAAGCUUACAGGACUGCUUUAAAAACGACGGGGGUUUCAAAGCAGCAAGAACUUCCUGGCAGAUCUGUGAAGCUUGAUACAAUAAGUGUCUAAAGGGCCCUACUGAGUACAAACUGCUUUCCUGCUGGCAUGAGAACUUCUUACUGUCUUUUUUCCAAAGAACUCUUUCAAAAUAUUAAAAACAAUUGAACCGCUUUUCCUUGUAAUCCUGGCCAAGUGGAGCAAGUGCAAUGAAACCUUUAUGGGAAAAUUAUAUGCCUGUGUAAUUAUAAUGUUUAUGAGUCCAAGUUUGCUAAAGUGAAACAUAAAAGUCAGACUGCAAGCUCAUUCUGUUUCUUACCUGGUCAUUUAAAGUAUGAUAAUGUUUUUGAAAAUUUCAUGUUUGAACACGUUAGGUCUAAACCAGGUUAAUGUCUUAAUAAAUGGAAAGGAAAUUGGUAUAAAGCACUGCUAAAGGCAUCACCUUGUUCUGGACUAUUUUCCAGAACAACCUAAUAUGACUCAUAAAACAAAUUUGUUGUAUUAAUUUACUAUAAUAAUACUAUAAUGACUGUACAAAUAACAGAACUACGUUAAUGACAGAGAACCUGGAAAAAGCUUUUAGAAGUGACAUCAUCCCAUCAUUCAACAGGAAAUAAAUAUACUAAUUUUAGUUAGCACGUAAGUCAUUGUUGCCCCAAACAGUCUUCUUUAAAUCAGACUAUUUAAAAGAUAACUUCAAGGCUUUGGUGUGUUCAAGGCAGCAAUAUAUUCUUAGAGUUAGCUUACAAUGACCAAAAGUUCUAGAAUGAAUCAAUGGGAAUAAAAAACAAUUAUUUGUUUAUUAGAAAGAAUUACAUUGAUCAAGUAAUGGUAAUUCCCAAUCAAUCAGCUAUGAGUGAUGAUGCUACAUUUUAUUUUUUUACAGGUGCUUUAUGUAGCCCAUGUCCAAAGCCAUCAGAGUGUAUGGCAAAGGCAAUACAGGGUAGUAAGCAGAGUUCAUUACAGCUCUAAAUAUAUCACAUUCCAAACAUUCUGAUUGAAAACAUGCCCCAUCAAUUUAAAGCAACCAUUUAAAAACCAAUGUAUUUACAGCAAUGUCAUUACACCAACAUCUGUUAAAUGUAUGCAGGUCUGCCAUCUUAUGGAGCCUGAAUGGUACUGCCAAAUAACAGAAUGUGGAGCUGCAUGUUCAUGUUUGGUGAAUAGUUUGAAUUUUUCCUUUACAGCAUACAUUCCAAGACAACAAAACAGACUGAUACAGAGCAGGGG